rnacentral:lncRNA from 1 species
UGGAGUGCAGUGGCGCGAUCUCGGCUCACCGCAAGCUCCGCCUCCCGGGUUCACGCCAUUCUCCUGCCUCAGCCUCUGGAGUAGCUGGGACUACAGGCGCCCGCCACCACACCCGGCUGAUUUUUUGCGUUUUUAGUAGAGACAGGGUUUCACCGUGUUAGCCAGGAUGGUCUCGAUCUCCUGACCUCGUGAUCCACCCGCCUCGGCCUCCCAAAGUGCUGGGAUUACAGGCGUGAGCCACCACGAGAGGCAGGAGUUUUUCUAAUAGAAAAUUGUACAUAAGAUGUUGCAAGCAUGAAAAAAAUAAAAAGAUGUUGGUCUCUGUUCUAGAGAGCAGGGAGUUGAAGGGGAAUUGUAGAGAGAGGAAUGCAAUCUCAAGAAUAUCAGUCUAGGCUUGGAAAAAAAUUGGUUCUCUUAUUAGCAGCAUAGUAUGACCUCGGGCAGCUUCUUUGGGUCUGUUUCCUCAUCU